rnacentral:sRNA from 1 species
CUUGUUGGCUUGCAGAGGGAGUGACAUCCAACACCAGUGACAGCGAAAGCAGUUCCAAAGGACAAGAGGAUGCUAUUUUGUCAUAUGAGCCAGUGACACGGCAAGAAAUUCACUAUGCAAGGCCUGUGAUCAUCCUGGGCCCAAUGAAGGACCGAGUCAAUGAUGACCUGAUCUCCGAAUUUCCACAUAAAUUUGGAUCCUGUGUGCCACAUACUACCCGGCCUCGACGUGAUAAUGAGGUGGAUGGACAAGACUACCACUUUGUGGUGUCCCGAGAACAAAUGGAGAAAGAUAUUCAGGACAACAAGUUCAUUGAGGCGGGCCAAUUUAAUGAUAACCUCUAUGGGACCAGCAUCCAGUCAGUGCGGGCAGUUGCAGAGAGGGGCAAGCACUGCAUCUUAGAUGUUUCCGGCAAUGCUAUCAAGAGACUGCAGCAAGCACAACUUUACCCCAUUGCCAUUUUCAUCAAGCCCAAGUCCAUUGAAGCCCUUAUGGAAAUGAACCGAAGGCAGACAUAUGAACAAGCAAAUAAGAUCUAUGACAAAGCCAUGAAACUGGAGCAGGAAUUUGGAGAGUACUUUACGGCCAUUGUACAGGGUGACUCACUGGAAGAGAUUUAUAACAAAAUCAAACAAAUCAUUGAGGACCAGUCUGGGCACUACAUUUGGGUCCCAUCCCCUGAAAAACUCUGAAGAAUCCCCUCCAACCAUUCUCUUGUGAACAGAAGAAAUCAAGUCCCUCUUCCCUCCUCCCUCUUCAUUCCUGUCCCCAUGGGGAGAACAAAUGCUACUGUU